rnacentral:lncRNA from 1 species
AUUAUACAGUUUAUUUUUAUGGUUCCAUAGUAUUGUUUUCUCCAAGAAGCAGGGCAAAUUAAAAACAUAAUUUUUUUUAUAACUACACAGAAACCUGUAUGUUUUUUAAAAAAUUAUCUUUGUUUAUUUUGUUUAUUAGGACAAAUUAUUGGAUUCCAGCACAGUGACUCACUUAUUCAAGAUAACUGAAAACAUUGGUUGUGUGAUGACCGGAAUGACAGCUGACAGCAGAUCCCAGGUACAGAGGGCACGCUAUGAGGCAGCUAACUGGAAAUACAAGUAUGGCUAUGAGAUUCCUGUGGACAUGCU